CCUACGGGUGGCAGCAGUGGGGGAUAUUGCACAAUGGGCGGAACUCUGAUGCAGCGACGCCGCGUGCAUGAAGACGCCCCUCUGCGCGUUACGCCCUUUUUGCAGGGAAGUAAGUCUCGGUACCUUUAUACUACUCCACGGCCAACUACGUGCCAGCAGCCGCGGCACUACGGAGGAAGCCAGCGUUAUCCGGAUUUACUGGGGGUUAAGGGCGAGUAGGCGGGAUGACAAGUCAGUGGUGAAAAUUAUGGGCUCAACCGAUAGAGUGCAUUUGAAACUGCGGAUCUAGAGUGAUGGAGAGGCAGGCGGAAUGCACGGUGUUGCGGUGGAAUGCGUAGAUAUCGGGAGGAACACCGGUGGCGAAGGCAGCCUACUAGACAAUAACUGACGCUGAGGCACGAAAGCGUGGGGAGCAAACAGGAUUAGAUACCCUAGUAGUC
rnacentral:rRNA from 1 species